AGACAAAUGAACAAGGAACUUGCUGCUCUUGGGCUGGCACUUGUGGUCUCCAGAUUUUUGUUGCCAAACCAGUGGAAUUGAGAACAGCAAAACUCUCAUUGGAAAGAACGAGGAAUGGCCUUUCUGAAGCUAGCAUGAGAAUAUGUGGAUGGGCAAGGCCUGCAUCAUCAUUCUCUACAAGAAACAGCAGCCCCACAAACACACAAGAUACAAGCAAGUGCAUAACAAGAACAAAGAUUUCAAAUGGCUGCAGUUUGGGCUUUGUGGAACUUCAAUCAGUCAGUUUGUAUAGUGCAAAUCAAACAAAGCAAGCAGUGAGUGACCCCCCAACAUCUUCUCAUGGCACUCUCAGAAAAAGAGGUUACAUUGAACUUCCCAAGAUACAGGAGUAGGGCUACACGAAAGCCAUAGCAUCAAAGGCAGAAGGAAGGCAACAGCAAUAAACAAGAACUUGUUCUUUAGAUGUGGUGGAUGGAUACGGUCACUUUCAAUGCAGGGAGGAAAGGGAGGCAGAAGAGCUGUGAAUUACGAUCCAUUUCACUUCUGUCCAGCCAAAGAAAAAGCAAUUACAACAUAUACUUCAAGUCUGAUCACCAAAAAACUGCAAGAAGCUCACUACUGGAA